CCUCCUUUCUAAUUGGUAUGUAGUCAUUACUGCCAAUCUAUCUCUUUUUUUCAUAUUAGGGCUAGUAGCUCAGCUGGUUAGAGCGCACGCUUGAUAAGCGUGAGGUCGGAGGUUCAAGUCCUCCCUGGCCCACCAUGAUUCUAGGUAUCGUAAUGGCCUGGUUGUUAUAGCAAAGGGUUAAAACCGGAUCCCAUCUCGAACUCAUUGGAGAAUUCCUUUAGCGCCGAUGGUACUUAGUCUUAAGGCUUGGGAGAGUAGGACGUAGCCAGGCUUUUAAGAUAUCUAGAUGAAAUGGGGGUGUAGCUCAGUUGGGAGAGCGCCUGCUUUGCAAGCAGGAGGUCAUCGGUUCGAACCCGUUCACCUCCACCAAUUAUUAACAGGUUUAUGUAUGUAUUAUUUUAUGAGAAAUCAAGCGUUUAAGAGCAUUUGGUGAAUGCCUUGGCACUAAAAGACA
rnacentral:misc_RNA from 1 species